rnacentral:rRNA from 1 species
GACGUAGGAGGCGAGCGUUAUCCGGAUUCACUGGGCGUAAAGCGCAUGUAGGCGGUUCGAUAAGUCCGCUGUUAAAGCCCCCGGCUCAACUGGGGGAGGUCAGUGGAGACUAUAGGACUUGAGGGCAACAGAGGCACGUGGAACUCCCGGUGUAGCGGUGGAAUGCGUAGAGAUCGGGAAGAACACCAGUGGCGAAGGCGACGUGCUGGGUUGCGACUGACGCUGGAGAUGCGAAAGUGUGGGGAGCAAACGGG